rnacentral:rRNA from 1 species
AAGCGUGCGCAGGCGGUUUUGUAAGACUGUCGUGAAAUCCCCCGGGCUCAACCUGGGAAUGGCGAUGGUGACUGCAAGGCUAGAGUUUGGCAGAGGGGGGUAGAAUUCCACGUGUAGCAGUGAAAUGCGUAGAUAUGUGGAGGAACACCGAUGGCGAAGGCAGCCCCCUGGGUCAAAACUGACGCUCAUGCACGAAAGCGUGGGGAGCAAACAGGAUUAGAUACCCGGGU